rnacentral:rRNA from 1 species
UAAUACCAGCACCCCGAGUGGUCGGGACGAUUAUUGGGCCUAAAGCAUCCGUAGCCGGUACUGCAAGUCUUCCGUUAAAUCCACCUGCUCAACAGUUGGGCUGCGGAGGAUACUACAGCGCUAGGAGGCGGGAGAGGCAAGCGGUACUCAGUGGGUAGGGGUAAAAUCCAUUGAUCCAUUGAAGACCACCAGUGGCGAAGGCGGCUUGCCAGAACGCGCUCGACGGUGAGGGAUGAAAGCUGGGGGAGCAAACCGG